rnacentral:rRNA from 1 species
ACAUGCAAGUCGAACGGCAGCACGGAGCUUGCUCUGGUGGCGAGUGGCGAACGGGUGAGUAAUAUAUCGGAACGUACCCUGGAGUGGGGGAUAACGUAGCGAAAGUUACGCUAAUACCGCAUACGAUCUACGGAUGAAAGUGGGGGAUCGCAAGACCUCAUGCUCGUGGAGCGGCCGAUAUCUGAUUAGCUAGUUGGUAGGGUAAAAGCCUACCAAGGCAUCGAUCAGUAGCUGGUCUGAGAGGACGACCAGCCACACUGGAACUGAGACACGGUCCAGACUCCUACGGGAGGCAGCAGUGGGGAAUUUUGGACAAUGGGCGAAAGCCUGAUCCAGCAAUGCCGCGUGAGUGAAGAAGGCCUUCGGGUUGUAAGGCUCUUUUGUCAGGGAAGAAACGGUGAGGGCUAAUAUCUCUUGCUAAUGAC